rnacentral:lncRNA from 1 species
UUUUUUUUUUUUUUCCUUCCAUGUGAGCCUCACCCUCCUCUCAUUAAGCCCUGAGAGGAAAAAUCUGACUCCCUGAGAGGAAACACUGACUGAAAGCCAGGUCACUUAAGUUAGAAAGGGAGACUGAUUACUUUAAAAAUGGUUACCUGAUUCGGAAUAGGCUCAGCUCACUGACUAAGGAGAAUAGUGAAGGAUUGGGAGGAGUGAGUGCCAUGGCUGGCAUUGAGGGAAAAACGCACCCUCUUAAAAGCUCUUAGUUGUUCUCAGAUUGAGAGGAGGAAUUAAAUCCUCUUUCUGGUGCACAGGACCACAGCAGCCCAUGGGUUUGGGCAGGAGGCAGGGCUCUGAGUUGUCAUUAGAAAGAAUGUCCACUAGAUGGCGCCAAUGCGCCAUCCAAGCUCUGCAGAAGCUUGUAUUGGCUCAGAGACUUGGUUGGAGAUGGGGAUGGUGGAUCCCCCAGGAGUGUCCCACCGGAGGUUGCCUAUAGCAUGCAACUGCCUCUCCAGGCCAAACUGGCCUCGGGAUGGCUGGGCUGGCGUUCAUCAGUGGAGAGUGUAAAAGCAGAGGUCCUUUGGAGGGCAGGUUGGGUGCAUCCCAGAGACCAAUCUCUUGAGGGAUCUCUGAAAAGUUCUGCAUUUUCCUUUCACUUGAGCUGGUAAUGGAGCCCUAAGGCUGCCCUUAUUUUUCUGACAGACAGAGAUGAAGAAGAGAGGACCAAGUCAGGCCCAAAGUGCUGAAGAGCAGUGCCAACAGAACUGGGAGGGGUCAGGAGGCAGAAGAAUGGGAUCUGAAGGGCUGGUAUGGAUAAUGGCUGCUAGACAACAAUGAGCCCAUCUUCUGCUUGGUGUUGGCAAGUCCAGACUCAGAGAUGCCAGGGUUGCCAAUGGCGCUGGUGGAAACCCAAAGAUAAGCCCAGCGAUGGAAGGUGAGUUAUGGGCUUCUUCUGACUCUUGGAUCGACUAUGCAUAUCCUGACAAUGGGACCAGAGCUCUUCCUUCAUGUCUAGAGGUUGUUUCCAUACUGUUCCUGGAGCCCUGAGACCAGGCAAUGGGACCAGCUAACCGUAGCCUGAAUACCUUUGGAUUCACCAAGGGUGUAGACUUGAAUCCAAAAAUACCUGGUUUGAAACUUGGGCAUGCAGUCCUCGAGAGUCAGGCUGUUGUCCUUGUGGCAUCUGGAAAGCAGUGCCCGUGGACCUGAUUGGAGGGUGUAGAAGGGGGUUUGUGGCUGGCCAGGCUAUUCUCAUCCCUGGGAUCUAUCUCUGGAAUUUCUCCACAGAGGUCCUUUUUUUUUUUUUUUCUCCCUAAGCCAGUUUUUUCUGGCAGUUACCCCCGGGAGAUUGAAAAGUAGCCAAAACUGGGUCAUGUGAAUUGAGGCAGGCAGAUGAAUUUCCAGCUGGUUGCCUGACUUGAAGUCAGAUUGGCCGAUGGCAGUGGAAGAGUGCAGUUGUACAGGGAGAAAGGAGUGAACUGGGAGAGGUUGAGAGAGACACCGCACACUCUCGUGUAAGGCACGUGGUGGCUCUUAGAGUGAGAGUAGGAGGGAAAUC